rnacentral:rRNA from 1 species
UACGUAGGGGACGAGCGUUGUCCGGAAUUAUUGGGCGUAAAGAGCGUGUAGGCGGCUCUGCAAGUCCUGCGUGAAAUCUCGAGGCUCAACCUCGAGCGGUCGUGGGAAACUGGAGGGCUAGAGUGCGGGAGAGGGAAGUGGAAUUCCAGGUGUAGCGGUGAAAUGCGCAGAUAUCUGGAGGAACACCUGUAGCGAAGGCGGCACUCUGGGCCGGAACUGACGCUGAGGAGCGAAAGCGUGGGGAGCGAACAGG